GUCUAAUUGAGUUUAAAUUGUUAGUCUGUUCUGCCCAUUGAAUUUAAUUUUAAAGGCUGCAGUAAUUUAACUGUACAAAGGUAGCAAAAUCAAUAGUUUUUUAAUAGAAAACUUGAAUGAAUGAAUUGAUAAAAUAUUAAUUGUCUCAAAUUUAUAGAUUGAAUUUGAAUUAAAAGUUAAAAUUCUUUUAUGUUUUUAUAAGACGAUAAGACCCUAAGAAUUUUAUAAUUUUUUUUUAUAUUAAUUAAAUUUAAUAAUUGAUUUUAGAAUAAAUUAUUUUAUUGGGAGGGUAAUUAAAUUAAACUUUAAUUAAUUAAAAACUUUGAUAAAUGAUUUUAAAUGAUAAAUAUUUUAAUUAUAAGGAUAAAUUACCUUAGGGAUAACAGCGUGAUAAUUUUGGAUAGUUCAUAUUGAUAAAAUUGUUUACGACCUCGAUGUUGAAUUAAAAUUAAAAUUAAAUGGAGAAGUUUAUUUUUUUAGUCUGUUCGACUAUUAAAAUUUUACA
rnacentral:rRNA from 1 species